rnacentral:rRNA from 1 species
UUUCACGGGUAACGGGGGAUUAGGGUUCGAUUCCGGAGAGGGAGCCUGAGAAACGGCUACCACAUCUAAGGAAGGCAGCAGGCGCGUAAAUUACCCAAUCCUGACUCAGGGAGGUAGUGACAAGAAACAACAGACCGGAGCCUCUGGUUCCGGGAUUGCAAUGAGUACAAUUUAGACUCCUUAACAAGUAACAAUUGGAGGGCAAGUCUGGUGCCAGCAGCCGCGGUAAUUCCAGCUCCAAUAGCGUAUAUUAAAGUUGUUGCAGUUAAAAAGCUCGUAGUUGGAUUUCUGUGAGAGUGCCGGUGUCGGCUGAUGCUUGUACGCAGGCGCUCUUACAUCCUUCUGUUAACUGAUCUUGGCAUUUUAUUGCUGGUUCAGGGCUCAGAUAUUUUACCUUGAGAAAAUUAGAGUGUUUCAGGCAGGCUUAUGCCGGAAUACAUUAGCAUGGAAUAAUGGAACAGGACCUGUGCGUCUCUCGGGGCGCCGGUCUCCGUUGUUGGUUUCGGGGACUAAUGUAAUGAUUAAUAGGGAUAGUUGGGGGCAUUAGUAUUUAAUAGUCAGAGGUGAAAUUCUCGGAUUUGUUAAAGACUAACUUAUGCGAAAGCAUUUGCCAAGGAUGUUUUCA